AGCGUUACUGGAGUCUGGAAAUCCAACGCUGCCAAAAGAGCCACAAGAAUUGUACAGAAUGUGCAUGGACGAAGACAAAUUGGAUAAGAUUGGCGUCGAACCGCUUCUAAAACAUGUUCAAUAUAUGGGACUGCCGCAUGUGCCGUCGGCUGAAAAGCGUUUUUCAUGGCAGAAAGCGGUCGCGAAGGCGGAGAAAUUUCUGGGCGAAAGCAUUUUCUUCAUGUUAGAUGUCAUCCCACACCCAUUGAACAUUUCUAAUCACGUCAUCCAAGUUCGCCAGGGAAACUUCAAUAGCUUAUUUGGAGCUGAUUUUCCAGAUGACGAUCGUUUACAAGAUGUUGAAGAUUUCUUUACCAACUACAUUGAUCUGCUUGU